rnacentral:sRNA from 1 species
UGUGAUUGGUUCGUGCGAUAUGACGUCAU